UUGAUUUCUGUUUCUGAUCCAAAUACAAGUGUCAUCCUGAAGAUUAUGCUCCUAACAGCAUUUCACAGAACACAUUCUGUCACCUAUUAUUUCUCUGGUUUCUUUAGCAUGAUAGAUAUUCCUCCUUCCCUUUCUGACUACCUUCAUCACUGUUUCAAUUCUUGACAGUGUGACAUUCUCAAACAACAAUCUAAUGCCUACAGAGCUUCAUGCUGACACAAGCAAAAAGAAGGACAGACUUCCACCUAAAUGAGAGGAUGGGCUGGCUGCCUGGGGAAGUCCUUCAGAUGGGAAUUGUGAUCCUGCUGAAUUACAGCUGCUGCUCACAGAUCAACUCUGCCUCUCCACAGCAUUAAAAUACCCAUCUGCUUGGUUCAGAACUUUGGGCUCACUUUCUAAGGGCAUCUGUAUUAAUGGGAAGAAAGGUGUUAUGAGGAGCUAAUACAUGGUUAUGGCUGGGAUGGAAAUCCCUCUCAGUAGUCAGAAAUCAGAAUUGUACAUAAUUGUACAUAAAUUCCCCAAAUCUUUGAUGAGAAGAUUUCUGCAUUUCAACUCCUUGAUACAAUUUUUAAUGUCAAGGUAAAAUUACUUUUCACAGUACAGUGCUUGCAUCUGCAUUCUGUAACUGUAUUUUUCCUGGAUAGAAAUCAGAUAAAACAAAAAUCAAUACUAAGGAAACUAAUGUUGCUUUCAUUUCUUUCCAAAUUAGGGUGCUAAACUUUACUCUCAUGGAGGCAGACACCUGCUUAACCUAUAUUGGAUCUUUGUCCCCUUUAGUACACAGCAGCAGAAUCAGAAAUAUUCAUUGGUCCCCUACCAGCAACAAAAGGUGUUGGAGCUCUUGAAAUGUCUUUGAUCUAAAAUGAUGUUUAGAGACUGCUGGAGCUCUAGCAAAUUGUACUUUUUAGAAGUCUUUCCUUCCAUGUUCUCUUUAGACUUUGAAAAAUGUUGUUAGAAUUAAUAUAGUCUUAAUUUAAACAGCUUCUGCAUUUGUGUGAGUUUACAAAACAGCAAAAUGUAAAACACCUGUUAGGUCAGGGUAGAGUCUACUGAUAUAAAUGCAUAAAUGUUGAGUUGAUGAAAAAUAAUUUGCCACUGAUAUUACAAGAAUGAAAUUGUCCUUAUUGUUGCAAUAAUGUUUGCUCAGUAACCUGUCCCCCUAAUCUUUGCAAUGAAACCUAAAAAUAUUAAUGAUUUGCCAUAUAUUUCGUUACCCUCGAUCCCUGUGCCUGUGUGACAAAAAUAUUUCACACCAACCCUGGUAAAUAUGAAAUGGAACUACAGCUGAAUCUCUUCAAACUUUUGGAAAAUUCUUUCCCAAAUCAACUGCUUCAAUACAAUUGCAAUCCUUGACAGUCAUUAAAAAAAAUAAGAAAAGUCAUGUGAGCAGCAGCCAUAAUGGAAUUUACUCUACUCUUCAACGUUUCAGACAUAAAGCAGAAUAAUUUAAUCUCUUCACAGAAAUAAUAUAUUAUGAAAUUACGUUGGAUAUAUGUAAUAAAGUAACAUGCCGAGCAUUUUAAUAUAACUUA
rnacentral:lncRNA from 1 species